rnacentral:rRNA from 1 species
CGAAUGGCGUAACGACUUCCCCGCUGUCUCCAACGCAGACUCAGCGAAAUUGAAUUCCCCGUGAAGAUGCGGGGUUCCCGCGGUCAGACGGAAAGACCCCGUGCACCUUUACUACAGCUUCACACUGGCAUCAGGCCAGGCAUGUGCAGGAUAGGUGGCAGGCUUUGAAACAGGGACGCCAGUUCCUGCGGAGCCGUCCUUGAGAUAUCACCCUUGCCUUGCCUGAUGUCUAACCGCGGACCGUCAUCCGGUUCCGGGACCUGUGUGGCGGGUAGUUUGACUGGGGCGGUCGC